rnacentral:rRNA from 1 species
AUACAGAGGGUGCAAGCGUUAAUAGGAUUUACUGGGCGUAAAGCGCGCGUAGGUGGCUAAUUAAGUCAAAUGUGAAAUCCCCGAGCUUAACUUGGGACUUGCAUUCGAUACUGGUUAGCUAGAGUAUGGGAGAGGAUGGUAGAAUUCCAGGUGUAGCGGUGAAAUGCGUAGAGAUCUGGAGGAAUACCGAUGGCGAAGGCAGCCAUCUGGCCUAAUACUGACACUGAGGUGCGAAAGCAUGGGGAGCAAACAGGAUUAGAUACCCGGGUAGUCCAUGCCGUAAACGAUGUCUACUAGCCGUUGGGGCCCUUGAGGCUUUAGUGGCGCAGCUAACGCGAUAAGUAGACCGCCUGGGGAGUACGGUCGCAAGACUAAAACUCAAAUGAAUUGACGGGG